rnacentral:rRNA from 1 species
AAACGAUGCCAACCAGUAAUCCGUCUGAGUUCCUUAAAUGACUCGACGGGCGACUUCCGGGAAACCAAAGUUUUUAGGUUCCAGGGGAAGUAUGUUUGCAAAGAUGAAACUUAAAGAAAUUGACGGAAGGGCACCACCAGGAGUGGAGCCUGCGGCUUAAUUUGACUCAACACGGGAAAACUCACCCGGCCCGGACACUGGAAGGAUUGACAGAUUGAGAGCUCUUUCUUGAUUCAGUGGGUGGUGGUGCAUGGCCGUUCUUAGUUGGUGGAGCGAUUUGUCUGGUUAAUUCCGAUAACGAACGAGACUCUAGCCUACUAAAUAGAUCGUCGGCUUACAAACGCUGAUGAGACUUCUUAGAGGGACAGGCGGCGAUUCAGCCGCACGAAACAGAGCAAUAACAGGUCUGUGAUGCCCUUAGAUGUCCGGGGCCGCACGCGCGCUACACUGAAGUGAUCAGCGUGCAUUUUCAGCCUACUCUGCCAAGAGUGGGAAACCCAAUGAACCUUCUUCGUGAUUGGGAUAGGAGAUUGUAAUUAUUCUCCUUGAACGAGGAAUUCCCAGUAAGCGCGAGUCAUAAGCUCGCGUUGAUUACGUCCCUGCCCUUUGUACACACCGCCCGUCGCUACUACCGAUUGAAUGUUUUAGUGAGGUCUUCAGACUGGCCGGCGCAGCUGCUCUCGUAGUAGCAGCGCUGUGUUUGGGAAGAUGCCCAAACUUGAACAUUUAGAGGAAAGUAAAGUCGUAACAAGGUUU